rnacentral:tRNA from 2 species
CAAGGAAUAGUUUAAGGCGAGAAUUCUGGCUUUGGGAGCCGGCGGUAGGAGUUAAAGUCUCCUUUCUUUGA